GACGAACGCUGGCGGCGUGCCUAAUACAUGCAAGUAGAACGCUGAAGGAGGAGCUUGCUUCUCCGGAUGAGUUGCGAACGGGUGAGUAACGCGUAGGUAACCUGCCUGGUAGCGGGGGAUAACUAUUGGAAACGAUAGCUAAUACCGCAUAACAGUAGAUGUUGCAUGACAUUUGCUUAAAAGGUGCAAUUGCAUCACUACCAGAUGGACCUGCGUUGUAUUAGCUAGUUGGUGAGGUAACGGCUCACCAAGGCGACGAUACAUAGCCGACCUGAGAGGGGGAUCAGCCACACUGGGACUGAGACACGGCCCAGACUCCUACGGGAGGCAGCAGUAGGGAAUCGUCGGCAAUGGACGGAAGUCUGACCGAGCAACGCCGCGUGAGUGAAGAAGGUUUUCGGAUCGGAAAGCUCUGUUGUAAGAGAAGAACGAGUGUGAGAGUGGAAAGUUCACACUGUGACGGUAUCUGACCAGAAAGGGACGGCUAACUACGUG
rnacentral:rRNA from 1 species